UCGGUCUUCACUUGCUCCCACGC
rnacentral:piRNA from 1 species